rnacentral:pre_miRNA from 1 species
ACCUCCCGUAUCUACUGGGCUGAUAAUCAGUGGUUAUAACUUCCCCUGGCUCAGUUCAGCAGGACAGGAGU